GAGACCCUUGCCGAUAAUUGCUAGCCGUGGUAGCAAUACUGCGGAGGCUAGUUAUCGGGACUGCCGCUGCUAAAGCGGAGGAAGGAGAGGGCCACGGCAGGUCAGUAUGCCCCGAAACUCCUGGGCCACACGCGGGCUGCAAUGGUAGGGACAGUGGGUCCCAACCUCGACAGAGGAAGGUAAUCCUCAAACCCUACCCCAGUUGUGAUUGAGGGCUGAAACCCGCCCUCAUGAAUAUGGAAUCCCUAGUAACCGCGUGUCAUCACCGCGCGGUGAAUAC
rnacentral:rRNA from 1 species